rnacentral:rRNA from 1 species
AANUCNAANGGAUUNACGGGGNCCCCANAAGCGGUGGAGCAUNGGUUUAUUNCGAUGCAANGCGNAGAACCUACCUACNCUUGACAUNCAAAGAACAUUCCAGAGAGGAUUGGNGCCUCCGGNACUCUGAGACAGGUGCUGCAUGGCUGUCGUCAGCUCGUGUUGUGAAAUGUUGGGUUAAGUNCCGCAACGAGCGCAANCCNUAUNCUUUNUUGCCAGCGAUUUGGUCGGGAACUCAAANNNAGACUGCCGGUGAUAACCCGGAGGAANGUGGGGAUGACGUCAAGUCAUCAUGGCCCUNACGAGUAGGGCUACACACGUGCUACAAUGGCGUAUACAGAGGGAAGCGAGAGUGCGAGCUGGAGCGAAUCUCACAAAGUACGUCUAAGUCCGGAUUGGAGUCUGCAACUCGACUCCAUGAAGUCGGAAUCGCUAGUAAUCGCAAAUCAGAAUGUUGCGGUGAAUACGUUCCCGGGCCUUGUACACACCGCCCGUCACACCAUGGGAGUGGGUUGUACCAGAAGUAGAUAGCUUAANCUUCGGGAGGGCGUUUACCACGGUAUGAUUCAUGACUGGGGUGAAGUCGNAANAANGUAGCCA